rnacentral:ncRNA from 1 species
AUGUUGGGGAGCUUGUGCAGCAGGCUGAGAGGAAGUAUGCAAACUUCGACCCGUAAAACCUGAUUUGGGUAAUGCCAACGUAGGGAUUU